GCUAAUAUCUUGGGGCCUCAAACAGUAAAUCAAUAAGUGUUCCAUUUUAUGGUGUUUUAAUUGCCGUACAUUUUUACUUCCUUGCAGUCUAAGAUGAAGCGCAUUGGAAUUGAUACUGAAGCACUCAAAGAGCACUUUGGGAAGAAAAUUAUGGAUCUUGAGGAGGAAAAAAGAAAAGCGCAGAAAACAUAAGAAUGAAAACAAGGAAUCAAAAUACUGUUUACAGAAAUCUCAAGAUGUUCAUGGCCAAAAAUUGAAAGCACUGGAAGCGCAGAUUUUAGACCUCAAGAAGAAACAAGAAAACCAGGUGCAGCUACUAAAGCAAGAGGAGAAGGGCGAAGAAACUGCAAAAAAAUUGCAAGCUGAAAUACAGUACAUCAAGGCUCAAA